UUAAUAUCAAUAAAUAUGUGUACUAACUAAUUAUAAAGUCAUCAAUCAAAAAAUGACAUUUGUCCAAUUUGUGCACUUCUCACUUGCCUACAAGAGAGUGUGCACACUCGUUAUGUCAUGUCAGUGUUUGUGGUGAAUUUAUUCCAUUUUAAAUUUGUUCAGCAGGGUAAUAGGACCCUAGUAAGUUUAAGUGUGUAUCUGGGAUUUCAGUCAUAGUCUAAGGGGUACUUGUGUC
rnacentral:lncRNA from 1 species